UACGUAGGUGACAAGCGUUGUCCGGAUUUACUGGGCGUAAAGAGCGCGCAGGCGGUCGUUCAAGUCGAGUGUGAAAGCCCCCGGCUCAACUGGGGAGGGUCAUUCGAUACUGAUCGACUCGAAGGCAGGAGAGGGAAGUGGAAUUCCCGGUGUAGUGGUGAAAUGCGUAGAUAUCGGGAGGAACACCAGUGGCGAAGGCGACUUCCUGGCCUGUUCUUGACGCUGAGGCGCGAAAGCUAGGGGAGCAAACGGGG
rnacentral:rRNA from 1 species